AGAUUACAAUAUCAUUCCUGUUACAAUCUCAAAUGAUUAUAAACCAAGGCUCUGAUAGUUUUCCUAUCAUAAUUUCCCACUCACACUUACCUGAACCUAAACCUUAGGAUACCUUAACCUGGCUCUGAUACCACUCUGUCACGCCCCGAACCCAGCACCCGGGUCCGGCACGCGAUCGGCCGCAUGAGCCCUAGAGCAGUGCCCUAAAGAUCAUGCAAGACCUAAGAUAAACAA
rnacentral:lncRNA from 1 species